rnacentral:rRNA from 1 species
GUGGGGAAUAUUGGACAAUGGGCGAAAGCCUGAUCCAGCCAUGCCGCGUGUGUGAAGAAGGUCUUCGGAUUGAAAAGCACUUUAAGUUGGGAGGAAGGGUAGUAACCUAAUACGUUGCUACUUUGACGUUACCGACAGAAUAAGCACCGGCUAACUUCGUGCCAGCAGCCGCGGUAAUACGAAGGGUGCAAGCGUUAAUCGGAAUUACUGGGCGUAAAGCGCGCGUAGGUGGUUUUGUAAGUUGGAGGUGAAAUCCCCGGGCUCAACCUGGGGACUGCCUCCAAAACUGCAUGACUAGAGUACGGUAGAGGGUAGUGGAAUUUCCUGUGUAGCGGUGAAAUGCGUAGAUAUAGGAAGGAACACCAGUGGCGAAGGCGACUACCUGGACUGAUACUGACACUGAGGUGCGAAAGCGUGGGGAGCAAACAGGAUUAGAAACCCUUGUAGUCC